GUUGUAAGGAGAGGUGACGAGGAAAGGUUGUAAGGAGAGGUGACGAGGAAAGGGUGUAAGGAGAGGUGAUGAGGAAAGGUUGUAAGGAGAGAUGACGAGGAAAGGUUGUAAGAAGAGGUGACGAGGAAAGGUUGUAAGGAGAGGUGAUGAGGAAAGGUUGUAAGGAGAGAUGACGAGGAAAGGUUGUAACGAAAGGUGACGAGGAAAGGUUGUAAGGAGAGGUGACGAGGAAAGGUUGUAAGGAGAGGUGAUGAGGAAAGGUUGUAAGGAGAGAUG